UGGGGAAUUUUGCGCAAUGGGCGAAAGCCUGACGCAGCAACGCCGCGUGUGUGAUGAAGGUCUUUGGAUUGUAAAGCACUUUCGACCGGGACGAAAACCCCUGGGCUAAUACUCCAGGGCUUGACGGUACCGGGAGAAGAAGCACCGGCUAACUCUGUGCCAGCAGCCGCGGUAAUACAGAGGGUGCAAGCGUUGUUCGGAAUUAUUGGGCGUAAAGCGCGUGUAGGCGGCUUUGCAAGUCGGAUGUGAAAGCCCUCGGCUCAACCGAGGAAGUGCGUUCGAAACUGCAGAGCUUGAGUGCCGGAGAGGGUGGCGGAAUUCCCCAAGUAGAGGUGAAAUUCGUAGAUAUGGGGAGGAACACCGGUGGCGAAGGCGGCCACCUGGACGGUCACUGACGCUGAGACGCGAAAGCGUGGGUAGCAAACAG
rnacentral:rRNA from 1 species